AGUAGGUCUUGGUACAGGUUGAAGCAUUUCCACGAUAUAAUUUCGAAUUAUUGCCUCUCAUAGUCCACCCCAGCAUGACCUCUUUCCUAUGCCUGGCUAAUAUUUUGUUUUUUUUCGGUUUUUUUUUUCUUUUGAGACGGAGUCUUGCUCUGUUACCCAGGCUAGAGUGCAGGGGCGCGAUCUCUGCUCACUGCAAGCUCCGCCUCCUGGGUUCAGGCCAUUCUCCUGCCUCAGCCUUCCGAGUAGCUGGGGCUACAGGCGCCUGCCACCACGCCCAGCUAAUUUUUUGUAUUUUUAGUAGAGAAGGGUUUUCACCGUGUUAGCCAGGAUGGUCUCGAUCUCCUGACCUCGUGAUCCGCCCGCCUUGGACUCCCAAAGUGCUGGGAUUACAGGCGUGAGCCACUACGCCCA
rnacentral:lncRNA from 1 species